rnacentral:rRNA from 1 species
UACAGAGGGGGCAAGCGUUGUUCGGAAUUACUGGGCGUAAAGGGUUUGUAGGUGGCUUGUUAAGUCAGACGUGAAAUCCCUCAGCUUAACUGGGGAACUGCGUCUGAUACUGGCGAGCUUGAGUGCAGGAGAGGAACGCGGAAUUCCGGGUGUAGCGGUGGAAUGCGUAGAGAUCCGGAAGAACACCAGUGGCGAAGGCGGCCUGCUGGGCAGUGGACUCGAAAGGGUCCUUCAACCGACACUGAUGCGCGACAGCGUGGGGAGCAAACAGG